rnacentral:lncRNA from 1 species
GAGAAAAGAUAACCCCGCCUGUCCUUCGCCUCCUCCAAUGAAAAGAUGUCCCAUAGCAGAUUCUUCAGGGCCUUUUUUUUUUUAAAACCAAUUGUGUGAGCAUAGCAUUUGAGUGUAGUUUUUACCCUUAAAUAGAAUGGUCUAUUCAACGGAAGCAAAGCAUUUAUUUGUCUGUGUACCCGUCUUUUUUUUCCCCUUUCUCUCAAACGUUGAGGAGGUCUAAAAUGACAGUUGCGACAUUGCCAGGUUUAUCUUUGGACAUCCAAGAUCCCACAACUACCCCACAAGCGGUUUUUCCCAAAUUAAAAAAGAAAACCUGGGCAAGUGAAUACCUGCUGGACCUUUAAUUGGGAAGACCCCGAGGCAGAGAAAGGUCUCCAUUAUUCAAGAACUAGUGAAUCUCUUCUCUUAAGUCUGAGUUCUCCACAUUUGCCUAAGAAUGAGGAAAGAGAUUCCAUUUGGAAUGAGAGGAGAAAAGAAUUGUCUGUCAGAUAUUCUAUCAGAACUAUUAUGAAACAUACACUAAAAGACUUACCACAGUCUUCACUUGGGGCCUACAUUUUCCCUGGAGAAAUAUAUCUCUGGAGAGGAGAAGAAAGAAGAUAAGAGAGAAGGGCUCACCAGAAAAUCUGUAAGUCAAUUGAAAUGGAUUUUGGCACACAAUAACAUUCAUAUUGGACCUAGAAGAUUGCAGAAUGAAGAGAGCUGCUUAUCUCCACUGAUAUUUGAGUAGGUGAAGGGCAUUUCCAAAUUGGAGAAUCAUUCCACAGAGCAGCAGCACAUUUUCUCCAUCUUGCAAAUGUUUUAUCCUACUUGGUUUCAUCUAUCAUUGUCCUUAAAGUGAUGCCUCCAAUAGAAGUUAGCAUAAGGAUCUUGAAAUACUAUGGGUCUAGUUUUCUUAAGAUCUUAUAAUUCUAAUUUGUCUACAGCCUGCUUUCUUUACAAUCCAAGAAAAUAUUGGAGAGAAUUCUUUUCUGUUUUACUGAGCUAAAUGACUCAUAAAAGAUUUUUAAUGUGGAAAGAAAAUUAUUAGAACAUUAUGUCAUUAGUCAUAUUCCUUGGUUCAGUAAAUAAAAAGCGACAAGAGAACA